GUGGUGAGUGGUGGUGGUGGGCAGGGAGGGUGCGCAGCGGGGACGGAGGGCGUGCGGCGCCGCGGUAGGAGGUUGGGGUUGUGCGGCGACGUGGUGGGGAGGGUGGGAUCGCGCGGUGGCGCGACGGUGGGGGUAGACUUCCGCGGUGGCGCAGGUGUAGAGGCUUUGAGCGCGUGAAAAUGGCGGCCCGGUGCUUGACCCGUGGAGGGAGAAGUGACACGGCCGCAGCGGAAGCGGUUACGUGCGGCCGUCGGACGGAAGGGGCGUGGCCGCCGGAGGGAGGGUUGCGCACGGCUGUCGGAAGGAAGGGGCGCGGCCGCCGGAGGGAGGGUAGCGUACGGUUGCCGGUGGGAAGGGUCGUGGCCGCCGCAGGGAGGGUUUCGUGCGGCCGUGGAGGCAAGGGGCACGGCUGCCCCCCGUCGAAGGGAGGCUUGCGCACCGCGUAAAAGGAGGUUACCUACACGUGUUGAGCACCUCGAUGGAGGACCAGUCGACCAAGGGCAGCCGGAGGAGCGUGGCCUGUUUAGGAGGUCGCCCUGGAGCCUUCCGGACUGCGUGAGGGAGCUUGAUAGCGCGCAGGAGGGAGCUUGCCGGCCUGAGCAAAUGGAGGAGGUUAUACGCGUCCAACGACGAGAGCAGACGAAGGAGAAAGAAAAAACUUUACUCAGACGAAAGAGAGAGUGCUCGUACUACGAUGACGAGGAGAGUUGAGAGUUAAGAGUAAUAAAUGACAAAGAGGGGAUAUACUUGAUGACUACGAUGAAGUAGAGAUGAACAACACUUUAUUCUAAAACUAAAGUCUCUUCAGCGUUUAGUGUUUCCUUUCUUCUCGGUACAAAAGAUAACAACAAUAAAACAACGGGAGCACCACAAAUGACUUUACGGAUGUUGUUGAAUUCCACAAGAGAAAAAAAUUUUACUUCACUUACACAACAUGAUGACAAUUCGCGCCAGGAGGAGGGCUCGAGGAGGUACACGUAGGCGGAGGGUUCGACACGGUACUCGCCAACGCGGAUGAGGCAGCAGGUCCGCUGGUAGUACGCACGGAGGACUGGGGACGACAGUCCAACGCCGGAGAAAGCGACAGUCCAGUGUAGGAGAGGACGGCAGUCUAGCGUUGGAGAAGGAAAACGUGCAGCGGUGGAGGACGACGACGUCCGGCACGGGGUAGGGGGUAAGAGCGCACCAGCGGUUGUUCCUCCACUGGCUAACAACUAGGACUUCAAAGUAGUGUACUAAAAAACAGAGACUUAAAACGUGGUUAAGAACUAGGACUUCGUAGUUACGAACUCGUGACUAAAAACACACAAUCAAGUUUAAAACGCAGUUCGUCAAGCUGUUCCCACGCAGGGAGUCAUGAUGCUACUGCUCCGUCUGUCGGCGGGAGAAACACUGGACGACGAUAAGGGGUAGAACGUGACCGCUUGAUUACUACGCCCUCGACGGGACAAACGAUGUUGGGGUGCACCUAGAGAGAGAAAGAGGAGAGAAUUUAAGUAACCUUUUCAACCAAAGAACAAGAACAACACAGCACUUAUGGGAGUUCAACAAACUAUAAUAAGGAUACUCUUUUGACUAGGUAUCGUCUAAAACAAGGUCUCGACAAGUUUCAAGUCUGAAUGCAAAACACUUCCGUUCCUGUUCCUCUUCGGAUACCUAUUGUCAAGCACACCUCGAACCGGUCAAGGAGACAAGUACACACUCGAACGAGUCAAACAGGUAAAUAGAGACAAGUCAAGUACAUCUCCUAGGGAGCUUAAGUGGAGGAGAGCAAGAAAUAGUGUUUACUAAAAGCGAUAGGCGUCGUUUAAUGUCAUACUCUCACCCUCAAAAUAUAACAUGAGAGACGGACGUGUUACGUAAAACAUCACAACCAUCAACAUCUCUAAACAAACACAAUUUUUACCAAAAUACAUAAAACAUCACAGCCAUGAAUUCAUCUUGUAAUCAAGUUUAGAAGUUUAAAAUAUAUCAAGUUCAUGUAUUCCUUGUAUUCCUUGAAAUCAAUCAAAGAACUUAAAGCUGAGGAAAUCAAAAACAAGAAUUGGUCAAAAACAAGUUAAUAUAUUCCUGACUGCGGUAAUCAAAGUUUUUCCUCGAAGACAUCUACACCUCUAACCAUUUUAGAUUUCAAGUUGAUAAGACUACCCCGUGAAGUAUUUCGUUUCUUUUUUCUUUCGUCUCGUUUUCACUUCUUUUUAUUUUUCUUUUAGUUUCACCAGGACUCUUCUUUUACGGAUGACAGAUCAUUAUGUAAGAGAGUAAACAGAUACAAAUAAACAACACUCUUAUUUUUUGUCACCAUGGUAUGUAUAAUGAACUCGACAAGUAUAUUUUUUUACGCAGCCAAACACAUUGUAGUCAAGAUUGAAGAUAUCGAACUAUUUACUAAUCUUCAGUUAGACUUAAGUAAAACUAGGUAAGAGAACACUAAAAACCGACUUGAGGUUAUGAACGUAGGCGGUGGGGUUGCGGCCGCACAAGGGAGUCAGGAGAGAGCUGUUUAGGUUGUCAUGUCCAAGAGGCCACACGGUUCAUAAUGGACGCCGCUAGGGAUGUAGUACCGGGUAACUCCUCUAGAACACAUAAGGUGUAUCUUCUUUAUAACAGUCAAGUACUUAUCUCUUAAAGACAUGGUCUGAAUUAUAAUCAAGUCACGCAUAAGAUAGAAGUCAGGUGCUUUUUAGUGUCUUAUCAACCACACACACGUGUUUAUAACAGUCACGUUCAAAGUUUUAAGACAUUGAAAUCUAUAUAGUGGACUUUUUCAUUACUAAACGUCGCUCAAAGAAGUUUUAAUACAUUUCAAAUCAUAAUAUCACACACAAAACUUGAUUCUAGAUAUGAGAUACUUGAAAAACAUGAAAGACCUGAACUUCGUAAAAAAAGAGUAUAUAAUUUAGUUCACGUAUAUACUUUAGAACUUGCUUUACGAGAUACCUGAGAACCUGACAUAACAACCUCUUGACAACAAGCCAUGGAUUACAUUAAACGUGUAUUUCGUAAAACAAGAGUCAAAAACCCACUUUUCAAACGAAGGAUAUAACGUAUCGACGACGUCACUGGUAUCCUUAAAUAAUCUUAUUAAAUUACAAAAACAUAGAGUGGAGAUUAAACAAAGAAAGAUGACGAGAAAGGAGAUUGUUAAAACAAAGACAGAUAUGAUGUCGUGCUCCCUCAGAACCUGCCUGCGACUAGUGAUCGGGUGAUGCUGCUGCGACUAGUGAUCGUGCUUCCUGUGAUCGUCCAACUCCUACUUCAUGUACUGCAUCCGUUACUCCUACUGGUUUUGUACCUUAGGCAUGUGUUUCGUCG
rnacentral:rRNA from 1 species